CGGAGCGUAGCUCAGCUUGGUAGAGCGCCAGUUUUGGGAACUGGAUGUCGGGUGUUCAAAUCGCCUCGCUCCGACCA
rnacentral:tRNA from 4 species